rnacentral:rRNA from 1 species
UACGGAGGAUCCAAGCGUUAUCCGGAAUCAUUGGGUUUAAAGGGUCCGUAGGCGGUUUGGUAAGUCAGUGGUGAAAGCCCAUCGCUCAACGGUGGAACGGCCAUUGAUACUGUUAGACUUGAAUUAUUAGGAAGUAACUAGAAUAUGUAGUGUAGCGGUGAAAUGCUUAGAGAUUACAUGGAAUACCAAUUGCGAAGGCAGGUUACUACUAAUGGAUUGACGCUGAUGGACGAAAGCGUGGGUAGCGAACAGG